AACUAUAUAAGGAGAGCUGGAGCAGAAGAAAAGGGAUCCGAGAAUUUAGACGUAGAGAACUCCUGCUAGCUUAGGGAACUUAGAACUUAGGUGGUUAGACUAGCAAGGCAAGGCUUAGAACAUUUUGCCGCCUUUCUGUUCUGCUUUUGUCUAGUUAGCAUAUCUCUACUCCUCUCAGAGAAGUCAUGUAUUCAUACUAUUUCAUUAAUAAAACGCCUCCGAGCGACUAUUUAUCUUUAUCUUGCUAUCUAUCUUUUUACGCUCUAAAAGUGAUUACGCAGAGAAUUCGGACCUUCAGGGAAAAUCGGGUUUUCUUGGUUUUCCUCCAUACUUAUUC
rnacentral:lncRNA from 1 species